rnacentral:misc_RNA from 1 species
CAUUACCGAGUUUACAACUCCCAAACCCAAUGUGAACCAUACCAAACUGUUGCCUCGGCGGGGUCACGCCCCGGGUGCGUCGCAGCCCCGGAACCAGGCGCCCGCCGGAGGGACCAACCAAACUCUUUCUGUAGUCCCCUCGCGGACGUUAUUUCUUACAGCUCUGAGCAAAAAUUCAAAAUGAAUCAAAACUUUCAACAACGGAUCUCUUGGUUCUGGCAUCGAUGAAGAACGCAGCGAAAUGCGAUAAGUAAUGUGAAUUGCAGAAUUCAGUGAAUCAUCGAAUCUUUGAACGCACAUUGCGCCCGCCAGUAUUCUGGCGGGCAUGCCUGUCCGAGCGUCAUUUCAACCCUCGAACCCCUCCGGGGGGUCGGCGUUGGGGAUCGGGAACCCCUAAGACGGGAUCCCGGCCCCGAAAUACAGUGGCGGUCUCGCCGCAGCCUCUCCUGCGCAGUAGUUUGCACAACUCGCACCGGGAGCGCGGCGCGUCCACGUCCGUAAAACACCCAACUUCUGAAAUGUUGACCUCGGAUCAGGUAGGAAUACCCG